ensembl:lncRNA
AUGCCCAGUCCCGCCGUCUCCAUGGCGACGGCUACCUCACCGAGGAGGCGAGGAGAGCUGCAGGGGAACCAAGGGAGAGAACUUCUGCUUCAGCCCAUCUGGUUCAUCUCUACCCUGGGAUCAGGGCUGGCAAACCCCUCUGCUGGACUCCCUGCACAGCCCGCCCCCUCCACCAGGCUCUCUGAUUCCUGCCCUCCUGCCAGGGGCUCAACUGGAGCAUGGAGGAGCCGCCUUCCCGCCCCCGGCCGAGCGGCGGCCCCCACGGGACCCUGCGAUCCCAGACGCACCGCACCGUCCGUUCCUUCCCCGCCGCCAAGGCCUGCGGCCCCUGAGCCCGUAUUUGUGCGCCUAGUUGACUGUCACCCGGCUUGAGCGCUCCUGCGUUUCGUUACGCGCUCUUGGCGCCCCGAGUCCCUCCCAGGCUGCACCUUGUGAAGCGAGGGUCGGGCCGGUGCAGUGUCUGCAGAGCCUCCAGCUUGUGUUGGGGGCUCACAUUUCUCCCCAGGGGCAGGCGUCCCAGAGGGGCACCCGAGCGCGCGCCAACGGUCCCAUCACAGCGAGAGAUCGCCGUGUGUGCCUAGCGCGCGCUGACAGCUCGAGAGCAGAAAUGCGCCCGCCCCCACGGGAAAAUGGGCACGCUCGCGGGCAGCAAGCGCCAGAGCGCGGGGGGCUCCUCUGUCCCACUCCCCCAAGGAAGGGGAAACCGGCAGGCGGAAAGGGGGAGAGAUAGGAGAUGCGGGGGCGGGGGGUGGUGUUCGAGGGAGUGAGGACAGGCACGCGGUUUCCAUGUGCCCCGUGGGGACUGUCUGCAGCCUGGUUCUGCACUGAGCCGCCUUCAUUUGUCUGCGAACCGGCGGAGCCUCCCGGCUAUUACCCUGCCAUGUUGGCGGGAAAUGUGUAAGAAACACUUUUUUGCUAAGCCCUGCUGAGAAGCCAGACUCCCAGGGUGGCCUGCGGGCUGGGGUACAGGGAUGAAGGGGCGUCUGGGCAGAGGAAGGGGUUCUGAAUUAAGAGGGUGUCUGGCUCUGAGAGUUUGGGAACUCUGACGGGUCCCCUCCCCACAGCCCGACAGGAGGCAGCCUCAGAGGGCUAAAGAUCUGGAGGUGGGGCGGGAGAAGGAUGCAGGGUAAGGGACCCCCAGAUCCGCAGAGACCCGGAGCCUCCUGGCUGUGAGGAGUGGAAGGGAGGGUCCCUAGACCCCUCUAAGUGCCAGUCUCUUCCCCCGCCCCUGGUGCACCAUCUUGUCUGCUGUGCAGUCUUGGGGAGCCCACUGUUCUGAAAGGGUCCUUUCUCCAGGUGUGUCUCUGUCGGUGGAGCCCGCUCGGUCCAGCCCCUUCCCCUAUUCUCUGCUCAGAGAACUUCGGCCACCUCUACCCACUAGUCCUCCCAGGACCACGAAGUCUUGGUUCCUGGGCUUCCUCCUGCUCACAGGUUAACACAGAGGCCCUUGCCCUUGUGGAACUAGUGGAAGGUUCCAGAAGCUGAGACAGGGCACCUUGCCCUCCACCACAGGGUUUCUGUCUGUCCUUGGGCAGGGUCAGCAGUGGGGACAGCAGGUUAGAGAAUCUGCCAGCGUUAGCAUCCUAUUUGCUUUUACCUUGCCCUCAGUUAUCUUGUCGACCACUGACCUUCGGCCUUCCCAGGUGGCACUAGUGGUAAAGAAUCCGUUUGCCAAUGUAGGAGACACAAGAGACCACUGGUUCGAUCCCUGGGUCAGGAAAAUCCCCUGGAGAAGGAAAUGGCAACCCACUCCAGUGUUCCUGCCUGGAAAAAUCCCAUGGACAGAGGAGCCUGGCAGGCUACAGUCCAUGAGGUAUAAAGAGCCGGACACGACUUACCGACUGAGCACUCAGGCACAACCCUUCAAUCUCCAUGAUCUUGCUCAAGUUGAGAAUUUUAGGCCCUGCUUAAUCAUCCCUUAGUUUUCUUAUCUAUAAAUGGGUAAAUGGUGCCUACUCUCCUGGGUGUUUAUAUGGGUUAAAAGAAUGUAUAUGAAUUUUAAUGAAUUUAAUGUAUGUAAAAAGCCUGGCAUAUGAUGGUAGUGGUGGUUUAGUCACUAAGUCAUGUCCAACUCUUACGACCCUAUGGAAUGUAGCCUGUCAGCCUCCUCUGUCCAUGGGAUUGUCCCAGCAAGAAUACUGGAGUGGGUUCCUAUUUCCUUCUCCAGGAAAUCUUCCCAACCCAGGGAUCGAACCCGAGUUGCCUGCAUUGGAAGCAGCCUCCUACAUUGCAAGGGGAUUCUUUACCCCUGAGUCACCAGGGAAGCCCGAGCCUGGUACAUAGCAGAUACUAAACAAGCAUUUACUGUCCUUAUUAGAAGUUAAGUAACUUGUCCAAAGUCAUACAGUGACUAAGCUUAGUGCCAUGUGACCUCAGAGCCCAGCUUCUCACACUGUGCUAGUGAAACUUUGCAGUAACGAUAUCUAUAAUGUAGGGGAAACAAAAGGUGCUGGGGGUCAGGAGACAUUUUUCCAGGGAAGGACCAAACUCAUAACAGUGAUAUCUGACCUAGUUCCCGCUUUAUGGCUACUAUCUUUGUUUUAUGUUUGUCAAUCAAGAAAGUUACGACAAUCAGAUAAUCACGUUGGUGGAGAAGACUCUCAGUCUUUCCAGCAGUAAUGUGAAUCCUAUAACAUGUCUUCAUCUCAUAUUUAUCAACUUAUCUAUGCCCCACAUUUUAGUGAAUUCUGUGGGGACAGGGAGAGCAUUCUUAGCAGGAACUGUUUGCUCACUUCACUGUGUAUGUCUAUGUGACCUGAUGCUCUUAUUUGCCAAAAGGAGUAGUUCAAUUAGAGAGCGGUUACUACCUGAUGAGGACUUACAGUGGACAGAUGUGAGGUGGCCCCAUGAGCCUUCCUCCUGGGUGUGAGAGGGAGGCAUGGAUGUGUGGCACUUGUUCUAACCAGUAAAAUAGGGCAAAGGUGAUGAGAUGUGUGGUUGUGUGUGUGUGGUUGUGUUACACUAGAUGGUAACAACCAUCUUGCUAGGGUACCCCCUCCCUUACUGACUUUGAAGAAGUAAGCUACCGAGCUGUGGACUGCCUGUAGAGAGGGUGGGAUCCCAGCUGGCACCAAGCAAGAAACUGAGGCUUCUGCCUGUCACCUGUAAAGAACUGAAUUCUGCCAACAGCCACGUGAGCUUGCAAGCAGAUUCUUCCUCAGUCAAACCUCAGGUGAGACCCCAGCCCCGGCCAACACCUUGACUGAAGCCCUGCUGAAGAGCUCAGACUCCCGUGAUAAACUGAAUAAUAAAGGCAUAUUGUCUUAAGAUGCUAUGUGUGUG